UACAGAGGAUGCAAGCGUUAUCCGGAAUGAUUGGGCGUAAAGCGUCUGUAGGUGGCUUUUUAAGUCCGCCGUCAAAUCCCAGGGCUCAACUCUGGACAGGCGGUGGAAACUACCAAGCUGGAGUACGGUAGGGGCAGAGGGAAUUUCCGGUGGAGCGGUGAAAUGCGUAGAGAUCCGGAGGAACACCAGAGGCGAAGGCGGCCUACUGGGUCAGUACUGACGCUGAGCCGCGAAAGCCAGGGGAGCGAACGGG
rnacentral:rRNA from 1 species